rnacentral:rRNA from 1 species
GAUGAACGCUGGCGGCGUGCCCAAUACAUGCAAGUCGAGCGAAUGGAUUAAGAGCUUGCUCUUAUGAAGUUAGCGGCGGACGGGUGAGUAACACGUGGGUAACCUGCCCAUAAGACUGGGAUAACUCCGGGAAACCGGGGCUAAUACCGGAUAACAUUUUGAACCGCAUGGUUCGAAAUUGAAAGGCGGCUUCGGCUGUCACUUAUGGAUGGACCCGCGUCGCAUUAGCUAGUUGGUGAGGUAACGGCUCACCAAGGCAACGAUGCGUAGCCGACCUGAGAGGGUGAUCGGCCACACUGGGACUGAGACACGGCCCAGACUCCUACGGAAGGCAGCAGUAGGGAAUCUUCCGCAAUGGACGAAAGUCUGACGGAGCAACGCCGCGUGAGUGAUGAAGGCUUUCGGGUCGUAAAACUCUGUUGUUAGGGAAGAACAAGUGCUAGUUGAAUAAGCUGGCGCCUUGACGGUACCUAACCAGAAAGCCACGGCUAACUACGUGCCAGCAGCCGCGGUAA